rnacentral:lncRNA from 1 species
AAAAUCUUCCAUAUUCUCCAAAACCCUUAUCACAUAAAACCCUCAAAUCUUACUAAAACUUGAAAAGAAGGACAUUAUGGAUGCACAAGACAUAAAUAUGGAGGAUUCUAAGGUCGAAGAACACAAAGAGGUAAGAAAUAUUGUACUUUGUGAUCGUUUUUCUCGUUUUUCGCACCUCAUUUCACGUACAAAAAAAUCGACAUGUACAGGUCGAAAUAUCAGCUUUAUAUCGACACUGCAGUGUCGAAAAUGUCAAAAUAAUUCGACACUGCAGUGUCGAAAAUGUCAAAAUAAUUCGACACUCAUUAAGUGUCGAAUUAUAUUGAAAUUAUCGACAUUCUGGUGUCGAUAUUAAGCGGAUAUUUCGACGCUAGUGUGUCGAAUUAUCACUGUUACAAUUGUGUAACCAAUUUUUCGAUUUUUCUUGCAGAGUUUUGUACCAGAAAUUUGUUUAAACAAUCGACACCAGUGUGUCGAAAAUUUUCCAAAAAACCGACAAGUACAGGUCGAUUUUUGUAAAACC